rnacentral:lncRNA from 1 species
CCGCCCUGCAGUGCAGGGAGGAGCGGGCGGAUCGGUGUCUUCUGCCGCCGCCGCGUUCAUUUGCUGUCAGCCAGACCGAGGUGCCCGCUCCGCUCCCCGGGUCCCGCCGCCGCCGCCGCCGCCGCCGCCGCCGCCGCCAUGUAUCUCUGCAGGGCCGCCUCGCAGGCGCUGGCUUCUCGCCUGAGCAGGGCUCCCUCUGCUGCGAGCCGCCUCAAGCAGCGUGCACCUCUUCGCCAGAUGUCAUCUGGGAGCGUUCCUGGCUCUUCUGGAGAGUCCAUGUUUUACUAUCUUCUUACUGGUGUUGCUGCUUUCGGUGGUUUAUUUUAUGCCUACAGAGUAGUCAGUUCAUCCCGCAACAACUACAUUGAACAUUUGAAUAUUCUUCAUGAGAGAUCUCAGGGGCGGAAAGACAAACACUAA